rnacentral:rRNA from 1 species
CGUGAGCAACCUGCCUGUUAGAGGGGAAUAACAGUGAGAAAUCAUUGCUAAUACCGCAUAUGCCAUAGGUACCACAUGGUACUAGUGGGAAAGGAGCAAUCCGCUAACAGAUGGGCUCGCGUCUGAUUAGAUAGUUGGUGGGGUAACGGCCUACCAAGUCAACGAUCAGUAGCCGGACUGAGAGGUUGAACGGCCACAUUGGGACUGAGAUACGGCCCAGACUCCUACGGGAGGCAGCAG